rnacentral:rRNA from 1 species
AGAGUUUGAUCCUGGCUCAGAACGAACGCUGGCGGCAUGCCUAACACAUGCAAGUCGAACGAGCCCUUCGGGGUUAGUGGCGCACGGGUGCGUAACGCGUGGGAAUCUGCCCCUUGGUUCGGAAUUACAGUGGGAAACUACUGCUAAUACCGGAUAAUGACGUAAGUCCAAAGAUUUAUCGCCUAGGGAUGAGCCCGCGUAAGAUUAGCUAGUUGGUGGGGUAAAGGCCUACCAAGGCUACGAUCUUUAGCUGGUCUGAGAGGAUGAUCAGCCACACUGGGACUGAGACACGGCCCAGACUCCUACGGGAGGCAGCAGUGGGGAAUAUUGGACAAUGGGCGAAAGCCUGAUCCAGCAAUGCCGCGUGAGUGAUGAAGGCCUUAGGGUUGUAAAGCUCUUUUACCCGGGAUGAUAAUGACAGUACCGGGAGAAUAAGCUCCGGCUAACUCCGUGCCAGCAGCCGCGGUAAUACGGAGGGGGCAAGCGUUGUCCGGAAUUACUGGGCGUAGAGCGCGCGCAGGCGGCUCGCGACGUGCCGUGUGACAAGCGGGGGCUUAACCCCCGAGGGUCACGGUAGACGCGCGAGCUGGAGGCAGGGAGAGGGAUGUGGAAUGCCCGGUGGAGCGGUGAAAUGCGUAGAGAUCGGGCGGAACACCAGCGGCGAAGGCGGCAUCCUGGCCCUGUACUGACGCUGAGGCGCGAGAGCGUGGGGAGCAAACCGGAUUAGAUACCCCAGUAGUCC